rnacentral:rRNA from 1 species
GACGGAGGAUGCAAGCGUUAUCCGGAAUGAUUGGGCGUAAAGCGUCCGCAGGUGGCAGUUCAAGUCUGCUGUCAAAGACCGGGGCUUAACUUCGGAAAGGCAGUGGAAACUGAACAGCUAGAGUAUGGUAGGGGCAGAGGGAAUUCCUGGUGUAGCGGUGAAAUGCGUAGAGAUCAGGAAGAACACCAGUGGCGAAGGCGGCUCACUGGCCCGAUACUGACGCUGAGGCACGAAAGCCAGGGGAGCGAACGGG